AAUACAAAACUCUGUAGAUGUUUUACUUUUGACAAUACUCAGCGUAUUCAAUGUCAAAAAUAUUAAAAUGCAAUUAAAAGAGAAAAAUUGCAAACAAUGUUAUAUUUAAGUGUCUCAAAAGUGGGGAUUACUGUAUACUGCUGAACACAUAGAAGACGACAAGCGACGAGCGAUAUCUGUCAAAUAUUAAAAUACACGCGUUCUUAUGGCACAGAUUUUUUGACAACAGCACGACUACGCGACAACAGGCAUGUAGUUGUCGUUGUCGCUAAAUUAAAAAUGUUUCUAAUUUUGGCGACGACAAUGGGCAGAACAGGUAUUAUUGAAAUGAAUUUAAUAGCAAAACUAAAAUAAAACAAUAAUUUUAAUAUUCUUAUUAUUUAACAAUAAGAUAACAACAAUAUUUGUGGAUAAUCGCCAAAUGGUGUAACAAGUGUAGCAGCAACAACAAAUAAUACAUAUUCAAAUUCAGAAUAAAAGUCACAAUCGCACAACGCAACUGGCAAAUAACAAGGGAUCGAAUGAUGUACAACAAAUUACAUCGGACUUUUGGAGUAGCAGUACAUACGUACAUAUUUUCGACGUGCUAAGCGCAGAGUCUCCUAUGAUGCCCUUGGAUCUACACAAUGGAUAAUUAACAUAGUAACUGAGCUCGAUCACAUCGAACACAAAUUAUUUACACACCAUGCAGCAUUUUUGGACUUGCCAGCAUCUCAGUUGGCCGUGCCAUUAGCAGCUAAAACACUGAAAUUAAAGGGUAAAUUUAAGUGAAUGUUUGUGAUCAUAGAAAUUUAAAAACUUCUUGUAUGUUUAAUUAGGAGGACUUUUUUGAUUAAUUUUCACCAUGAAUUCACCGAAAUUAGUUCAAUGGAAAUACUACAGCAAGGGCAUGGAUGUUAUGACUAGAACGUUGCCCGUGCUAGAUUUAGAAUUCCUGAAAUAUAAGGUAAUUAUUACCAACUUUUAUGUUGUUAAAAUUAAAAUUUUACUUUAUAUUUUAUAGAAACCCUCCUCCCAGAAAUUAUAUGAAUCUAGUUCUAGUGAAAUUAAUGAAAGAACAGAUCUUACAAAAACUCCUAAAGAAACCAAAAGAGUCCUCACAUAAUGUGCGCAGCUUACACUUCCAGGCCGCACGGGGUAUUUGAUAUUUGC